rnacentral:rRNA from 1 species
UCGGCUUAGAGUUUGAUCAUGGCUCAGAUUGAACGCUGGCGGCAGGCCUAACACAUGCAAGUCGAGCGGCAAGGAAGCUUGCUUCCUGCGAGCGGCGGACGGGUGAGUAAUGUCUGGGGAUCUGCCCGAUGGAGGGGGAUAACUACUGGAAACGGUAGCUAAUACCGCAUAACGUCGCAAGACCAAAGUGGUUCGUCACGCCAUCGGAUGAACCCAGAUGGGAUUAGCUAGUAGGCGGGGUAAAGGCCCACCUAGGCGACGAUCUCUAGCUGGUCUGAGAGGAUGACCAGCCACACUGGAACUGAGACACGGUCCAGACUCCUACGGGAGGCAGCAGUGGGGAAUAUUGCACAAUGGGGGAAACCCUGAUGCAGCCAUGCCGCGUGUAUGAAGAAGGCCUUCGGGUUGUAACGUACUUUCAGCGGGGAGGAAGGCAGUGAAUAAUUUCGCUGAUUGACGUUACCCGCAGAAGAAGCACCGGCUAACUCCGUGCCAGCAGCCGCGGUAAUACGGAGGGUGCAAGCGUUAAUCGGAAUGACUGGGCGUAAAGCGCACGCAGCGGUUUGUUAAGUCAGAUGUGAAAUCCCCGAGCUUAACUUGGGAACUGCAUUUGAAACUGGCAGCUAGAGUCUUGUAGAGGGGGGUAGAAUUCCAGUGUAGCGGUGAAAUGCGUAGAGAUCUGGAGAUACCGGUG